rnacentral:rRNA from 1 species
ACUCCUACGGGAGGCAGCAGUGGGAAUAUUGCACAAUGGGGAAAGCCCAUCGAUGCAGCCAUGCCGCGUGUGUGAAGAAGGCCAAUUCGGGCUUUGGUUAAAGACACUUUUCAGCGAGGAGGAAAGGGUGUAAGUUAAUACCUUACAUCUGUGACGUUACUCGCAGAAGAAGCACCGGCUAACUCCGUGCCAGCAGCCGCGGUAAUACGGAGGGUGCGAGCGUUAAUCGGAAUUACUGGGCGUAAAGCGUGCGCAGGCGGUUUGUUAAGCGAGAUGUGAAAG